rnacentral:rRNA from 1 species
UACGUAGGUGGCGAGCGUUAUCCGGAAUGAUUGGGCGUAAAGGGUGCGCAGGCGGUCCUGCAAGUCUGGAGUGAAACGUAUGAGCUCAACUCAUGCAUGGCUCUGGAAACUGGAGGACUGGAGAGCAGGAGAGGGCGGUGGAACUCCAUGUGUAGCGGUGAAAUGCGUAGAUAUUAGGAGGAACACCGGCGGCGAAGGCGGCCUGCUGGACCGUAACUGACGUUGAGGCUCGAAAGCGUGGGGAGCAAACAGG